GACGAACGCUGGCGGCGUGCUUAACACAUGCAAGUCGAACGGAAAGGCCCUGCUUUUGUGGGGUGCUCGAGUGGCGAACGGGUGAGUAACACGUGAGUAACCUGCCCUUGACUUUGGGAUAACUUCAGGAAACUGGGGCUAAUACCGGAUAGGAGCUCCUGCUGCAUGGUGGGGGUUGGAAAGUUUCGGCGGUUGGGGAUGGACUCGCGGCUUAUCAGCUUGUUGGUGGGGUAGUGGCUUACCAAGGCUUUGACGGGUAGCCGGCCUGAGAGGGUGACCGGCCACAUUGGGACUGAGAUACGGGCCAGACUCCUACGGGAGGCAGCAGUGGGGAAUAUUGCACAAUGGGCGGAAGCCUGAUGCAGCAACGCCGCGUGCGGGAUGACGGCCUUCGGGUUGUAAACCGCUUUAGCCUGUGACGAAGCGUGAGUGACGGUAAUGGGUAAAGAAGCACCGGCUAAAUACGUG
rnacentral:rRNA from 1 species